AGCAGCCGCGGUAAUUCCAGCUCCAAUAGCGUAUAUUAAAGUUGUUGCAGUUAAAAAGCUCGUAGUUGAAUUUCGGGGUUAGUAGGUUGGUCAUGCCUCUGGUAUGUACUGGUCUCACUGAUUCCUCCUUCCUGAUGAGCCGUAAUGCCAUUAAUUUGGUGUUGCGGGGAAUUUGGACUGUUACUUUGAAAAAAUUGAGUGUUUAAAGCAAGCUAACGCUUGAAUACAUUAGCAUGGAAUAAUGAAAUAGGACGUUUGAUUCUAUUUUGUUGGUUUCUAGGAUCGACGUAAUGAUUAAUAGGGAUAGUUGGGGGCAUUAGUAUUCAAUUGUCAGAGGUGAAAUUCUUGGAUUUAUUGAAGACUAACUACUGCGAAAGCAUUUGCCAAGGAUGUUUCCAUUAAUCAAGAACGAAAGUUAGGGAUCGAAGACGAUCAGAUACCGUCGUAGUCUUAACCAUAAACUAUAGCCGACUAGGGAUCGGAUGAUGUUAAUUUUUAUGUACUCAUUCGGCGCCUUAAC
rnacentral:rRNA from 1 species